rnacentral:lncRNA from 1 species
CGUACCUCAUACACACACACACCUCAUACACACACACCCACACACCCACACCCACCACUAUCAUAAACUUCUGCUUUUAUUUGGCUGGUAAUAUGUACAAAUGAAUAUUUCUGAUUUGUUAGCUUUCUUGGCAUAUUUCUGUCUAAUUUUUUUAAUCUCUCCUCCUUCUUUUCAGAUAAGAAAAACAUGCUCUCUCUUCUCUAAUGAUUGGACAGACUCCUACUCCAAAACAGAAGAUCUCAACUCUGGAAGAGAACAGAUGCCUUCCACUGUGUGAGCGUAAAUUCAGAGCCUUCCAACUUGACAUUCUCAUCGACAAAUUAUUUAAACAUGACGGCUCUUUUAUAAAGAGUGUUAUCUUAAAAGGAAAGGAAUCAAAGGGCUGAACAUGUUGAAGGGAGGAGAAACAAGACCCCCAGGACUUGUCAAUGGCACACAUGAAAGACAGAAAACACCAGAAGCCAGUCUUCAGCCUGCUGGCCCAGCCAUGGCCACUGUAACGUACGGCUAAACCCCUGCCCCGAUCAGCUCUCAAGGCUCUGAGCCAACUGCCUAGACCGUCUAUUUGAGAUCCCUGAGAGUUUCAACACAGGGCAUGGCUGACCUCUCCACCGUGUCAUUUCCAGUAAUGCGGCCUCACUGAUAGCAGAAGUUCGGAGAGCUCUUGUCAGAGAGGCCAGCUGGCACCAUGUGAGUCUUACCCAGAGGGAAACCUGACAAUCUUCCAGCAUGCUCACCAGACUGGGGCACUGACUUUUGUCACUUGAUUCUCAACUCACAGUCUCAAGAUGCUGGUGCUAAUGUACAUUGCAGCUGACACUGGAGUUUAUUUUUAUAACUGCUCUUGCCUCAGAAAAAGCUCCAUCCCAGUACGACUUCCAGGACAGGGAUGGUCUGGAUGCUGCAGUUAGGACAAUGAUCAUCUCGUUCUCUUAGUGGUUAGGAAUCCUGUGGGCUUAUGGAAUAAGCUCGCUGAAACAGACAGUGACAUCCACGGUGACACUGACCGAAUUGUGCUCCAGUGGCCUAGAGAGUGCCUAUUAUUUAUCUCAUUUCUGUUCUGCAUAAUAACACCAACCAAACCGCUAAUGAAUGAAUAUUAUUACAUGCUUUGGUAGGAACGCAAAGGCAAAUUGGGCUCACUGUAGAGAAUAUCUUGCUCCUCAUUUUGUAUUAAAAUGCCUAGACGCCCCUCAAGAGACCAUGUCAAGGAUGAAAUUUAUCCACUGCCUGCAUUUGCUAAUUUGAAAGAGUUCUGAUUUCAUCUGCCGGGCUUAAUAUAGAAAUUCUUUUAACCUGAACAGAUACACAGAAAUGUGGAAUUUAUUCAAUGCCAUUUUCUUGAUUUAUGUCAGGAAAUAUAUAUGGCUAUGCUGUCAUCUUUUUAUAUAUAGACAUCAAUAUAUAUAAAUAUAUAGAGUCAAGUCAGAAAUUCUGAAACCACAUUGCACUUAGCCCUUACAGCAUAAUGCUUUCCAUAUUCUUCACAGUUUGUUUCCCUGAUCCUUUAGAGAGAGCUACUGUGUUUAAAGUGUAAACCAUUUUUACAGAAAAAAUGUAUUACAAUUCUAUAUGAUAAUUCUCAAAGUUCAGGAAAAUAAUCUGAAAUAAACAUUCUAAAUUGAGG